AUACAGAAUAAGAAUUAAGUUAUGUAGGGCAUUGUUAGAGAAAUUGUGGUUAUAGCAAUGUACCGACCUCAGAAGCUACUGAGGUGCCAUUCUGUCCUGGUACAGUU